rnacentral:rRNA from 1 species
AGUGAAGCGGUAACAGCUCAAAUUUGAAAGCUAGCUCUUUUAGGGUUCGCAUUGUAAUUUGUAGAAGAUGCUUCGGGUGUGGCCCCGGUCUAAGUUCCUUGGAACAGGACGUCAUAGAGGGUGAGAAUCCCGUAUGUGACUGGGUGCUUUCGCUCAUGUGAAGCUCUUUCGACGAGUCGAGUUGUUUGGGAAUGCAGCUCAAAAUGGGUGGUAAAUUUCAUCUAAAGCUAAAUAUUGGCCAGAGACCGAUAGCGCACAAGUAGAGUGAUCGAAAGAUGAAAAGCACUUUGGAAAGAGAGUUAAACAGUACGUGAAAUUGUUGAAAGGGAAGCGCUUGCAACCAGACUUGCGCGCUGAUGAUCAUCCGGGCUUCUGCCCGGUGCACUCGUCUGCGCUCAGGCCAGCAUCGGUUUCGGUGGUGGGAUAAAGGCCUUGGGAAUGUAGCUUCUUUCGGGGAGUGUUAUAGCCCUCGGUGCAAUGCCGCCUACCGGGACCGAGGACCGCGCUUCGGCUAGGAUGCUGGCGUAAUGGUUGUAAGCGACCCGUCUUGAAACACGGACCAAGGAGUCUAACAUCUAUGCGAGUGUUUGGGUGUCAAACCCAUACGCGUAAUGAAAGUGAACGGAGGUGAGAACCCUUAAGGGUGCAUCAUCGACCGAUCCUGAUGUCUUCGGAUGGAUUUGAGUAAGAGCAUAGCUGUUGGGACCCGAAAGAUGGUGAACUAUGCGUGAAUAGGGUGAAGCCAGAGGAAACUCUGGUGGAGGCUCGCAGCGGUUCUGACGUGCAAAUCGAUCGUCAAAUU